AUACUAAUAUGUUACAGCACAUAAAAUUGAAAUGUGAAUUCAAUAACAAAUUUACUGAA
rnacentral:tRNA from 1 species